GCCUGAUCCUGGGACAUGCUGCCCAGAGCUCCGCUUCUGGGGCAUGUUUCUAUGACCUUGACCUGCCUUGUUUGUAGAUGCACAGGUGGGGAAACACACAUUUGAAGGGAGGCUGAGGAGGUAAGCUAAACAAGCUCUGGCCUCAAGAUAAGCAAUAGCAAAACAGUUGUAGCUCCUCCACCACCAGACACUUACUGGCUGACUCCCCUGUUCCACAAGCCAUAACUACAGCUUUGAUUGGCCAAAUGAUUGAUUUCAGUAACUUUCUCCUGAUAAGAAGACCACUGCCCAGGGACUGCUUCUGGCCAGUUUACAGAGGCUGCACACUUGAGUGCCUUUGUGUCUCUGCGUCACCUUUUGAGGAAUGAGAUCAACUUCAUGAGACUUAUUUUGACUGGAUCAUCUGAGGUCAGGAGUUCGAGACCAGCCUGGCCAACAUAGUGAAACCCCGUCUCUACUGAAAAUACAGAAUUAGCCGGGCGUGCCUGUAAUCUCAGCUACUUGGGAAGCUGAGGCAGGAGAAUUGCUUGAACCUGGGAGGUGGUGGAGGUUGCAGUGAGCCGAGACUGCGUCUUUGCACUGCAGCCUGGGCGACAAGAGCAAAACUUCAUCAAAAAAAAAGAAAAAAAAGAAAAAAGAAAAGAAAGAAGUGGGUGCAGAGGCUGGGCUACAGAAGAACACACCAAUUCCCAUGGUUGAAUACUCCUUCGCACAAAAGCAGAGUCUCUGUGAGGGAUAAGGACUCCUUGAAGAUCACAGGGGUGCACUUUCUUCCAGGAAGCCUUUUCCUUUGAGGUGCUGCAUAAUUUCUGUGAGAGUGGGGUUUAAAUCCAGUCCCUGAAGAGUGGGAGGAUGAGCACUGAGGUGUAGAUGAUGGGGUUGAGCAUGGGUGUGACGACUGUGUAGAAGAGACUGAGGACGCGGUCUGUGGUAACAGAGGAGCCUGCCUGCGGCCGGAUGUAGGUGAUGCUGGCUGUUCCAAAGAAGAGAGAGACCACGAGCAGAUGGGAGGAGCAGGUGGAGAAGACCUUGCGGCGGCUCUGGGUGGAGGCCAUUGCUAGGAUGGCACCCAGGAUGCGGAUGUAAGAGGUGACAAUCAGAGAGAAGGGGAUCAUAAUGAAGACUAUGGUGGCUGUCAUCACGGAGAUCUCGCUCCUGUGCUUCCCAGCACUUGCCAGCCUCAGUACUGGCAGGAUGUCACAGAGAAAGUGCGGGAUGAUC
rnacentral:lncRNA from 1 species